rnacentral:lncRNA from 1 species
UGCAUAAGUCAAGAUAGGAUUGACCACUCCUGAUUUUAGGAGAUAAUGCUAUAUUGUGUUUCAAUUUAGCAAAAUUUUGACCAGAAUAGUCCUUGUGAGGAGUCACAGAAUUUAUGAGGUUGAGACAUAUUAUGGUUAUACUUAUUAAGAGUUGACAAUUUAACUCUGAAGUCAUCUUAAGCAUUGAGGGUCAAAGGGAUAAAUUAUACGGUAACCAUAUGCCA